rnacentral:tRNA from 1 species
GUCCAGGGUAGCCUAGUGGACAUGGCAUCUGCCCGGUAAGCGGAACAUUGUGGGUUCGAUUCCCAUCCCCGGACA